rnacentral:rRNA from 1 species
AUGAUACAAUCAAUUGGAUAUUCUUCUAUGGUUAUGGAUCUAGCGGAAGAAAUGUUGUUUUCACAUCAUUGUUUUAAUCCAAUGCUCAGCUUUCAUGCUAUAAGCUUUACCGCUUUAGACAUUUUUGUAGGAAAUGCUGAACGUUCAUAUCAAUUGAAUCAAUGUGGCCUUACAUGUAGUGUCGGUACUGUUAAAUUUGUAGAUAUCUUAUUUUAUUCAGCAGUAACUUUAUUUUCUUUUCACUUCUUUUUUAUAAAUGUCAUGGAGUCAGUUAUAAUAGUGAUUUCUUUUCCUUCUGAAAGAAAUUGUUUGUCUGCUUUGGGUUUCAAUUUUAAGGCCAGCUCAGUACAAUCUGCAACUACUUAUAGACUACUUCAUCUGGAUGGGUUUGCAUCUUUGUGUACAGUUUGCUUCAAUACCCCUGUUACCAUUCUACUGUCUCCUGCUAUUUUUCCACUUGUUUAG